rnacentral:rRNA from 1 species
GCAUAUCAAUAAGCGGAGGAAAAGAAACCAACAGGGAUUGCCUCAGUAACGGCGAGUGAAGCGGCAAAAGCUCAAAUUUGAAAUCUGGCACCGUUAGGUGUCCGAGUUGUAAUUUGGAGAGGAUACUUCGGGUGUGGCUACGGCGUAAGUCCCUUGGAACAGGGCGUCAUAGAGGGUGAGAAUCCCGUCUUAAGUCGUUUGUCCAUGCCCAUGCGAAGUUCCUUCGACGAGUCGAGUUGUUUGGGAAUGCAGCUCUAAGUGGGUGGUAAAUUUCAUCUAAAGCUAAAUAUUGGCCGGAGACCGAUAGCGAACAAGUAGAGUGAUCGAAAGGUUAAAAGCACCUUGAAAAGGGAGUUAAAUAGCACGUGAAAUUGUUGAAAGGGAAGCGCUUGCAACCAGACUCGGUCAUAGGGGCUCAGCGAGCAUGCGUGCUCGUGUACUCCCCUGUGUUCGGGCCAGCAUCAGUUCUGGCGGUUGGUUAAAGGCCCUUGGAAUGUAUCGUCCUCCGGGACGUCUUAUAGCCAAGGGUGUAAUGCAGCCAGCUGGGACUGAGGAACGCGCUUCGGCACGGAUGCUGGCGUAAUGGUUGUAAGCGGCCCGUCUUGAAACACGGACC